CCGUCGUCGAAUCUCUCUCCGACACGCUCUCCCACUCUCUCUCUCUCUCUCUCUCUCUAGCUCGAAGCUCGCUCGCAUGGCGAAGGAGGAGGAGGAGCAGCAGCAGCAGCUCGACCACCACCUCUCCCGCUCCGACUUCCCUCCCGCCUUCGUCUUCGGCGUCGCCACCUCCGCUUACCAAAUCGAAGGAGCUUCCGGCGAGGGCGGUAGAGGCGCCAGCAUCUGGGACGCCUUCUCUCACGUCGAAGGAAGAAUCGUGGACGGGAGCAAUGGGGAUGUGGCCGUGGAUCACUAUCACCGCUACGAGGAAGACAUAGAUCUUAUAGCGAAGCUUGGGUUUGAUGCUUAUCGAUUCUCCAUAUCGUGGUCCCGCAUAUACCCUGAUGGUUUGGGUUCUCAAAUCAAUAUGGAAGGGAUUACAUUUUAUAACAAACUUAUUGAUGCACUUCUUAAAAAAGGUAUCCAGCCAUACGUGACAUUGUAUCAUUGGGAUCUUCCUUUGCAUCUUCAUGACUCAAUGGGAGGGUGGUUAAGUAAGCAAAUUGUAAAUUGCUUUGCAACAUAUGCUGAAACAUGCUUUGCAAAUUUUGGCGAUCGAGUAAAGAACUGGAUUACGAUCAAUGAACCCCUCCAAACUGCAGUCAAUGGGUAUGGUAUCGGCAUAUUUGCUCCUGGAAGGUGUGAAUGUUCCGAUACCGAACCAUACUUGGUCACGCACCACCAGCUCUUGGCUCAUGCUGCUGCUGUCUCAGUGUACAGGAAGAAAUACAGGGACCAGCAAGGUGGGCAAAUAGGAUUGGUGGUGGACUGUGAAUGGGCAGAGGCUUACUCGCAAAAGACUGAAGACAAAGAUGCUGCAGCAAGGCGUCUCGAUUUUCAGCUUGGCUGGUACCUUGAUCCUAUAUACUAUGGAGACUAUCCUAAAGUCAUGCGUGAAAUAGUUGGAGAUCGGCUUCCUAAAUUUUCAGAGGAAGAGAUCGAGUUGCUCAGAAACUCGGUGGACUUUGUUGGUCUAAAUCACUAUACAACCAGAUUUAUAGCUCAUACAAAUGAAAGUCCUGAAGAAAGUGAUUUCUACAAAGCUCAACAGAUGGAGAGAAUUGAAAAAUGGGAAGGAGGGGAAGCUAUUGGUGAAAGGGCAGCAUCAGAAUGGCUUUAUGUUGUUCCAUGGGGCAUUCGAAAGGUUCUCAAUUACAUAGUGCAGAGAUACAAUAAUCCCCCAAUAUAUGUCACCGAGAAUGGAAUGGAUGAUGAAGACAAUGACCUUUCACCUCUCCAUGAGAUGCUAGAUGAUAAACUGCGAACUACUUAUUUUAAGAGAUACCUGGCUGAAGUCGCUCAGGCAGUCAAGGAUGGAGCGGAUGUGAGAGGAUAUUUUGCAUGGUCGCUUUUGGACAACUUUGAGUGGGCUCAAGGUUAUACGAAACGCUUUGGGUUGAUUUACGUGGACUACAAGAAUGGGCUAUCUCGUCACCCAAAGUCGUCUGCGUAUUGGUUCCUGCGGUUUCUGAAAGGCGAUGCUGGAAAGAGUGGGAAGGACGAGUAGUCGAUUCUGUACUUUCUCCUUUUGCUCUAUCAUUCUAAAGCAAUGUAUUGGUAAGUAGAAAGAGAUUCUCUGCUUUACAUUGGUUGUCGGCAAGCUGACGUGUGUAAAGGCCUUUAAAUACCGGGACCGCAUCCCAUACGGCCUGUUACCCCUAUCAUAGGGUUUUCAAUAACAUGAUUAAAGGUCAUCAUGCCUAUGGUACAAAAUUUCAAAUGCCUCCCACUAUUUUACUUUUAAUAGCAUCCCAGUUAUACUUUG